UGCGGAAUUUUAGAUAAUGGAGGGAACUCUGAUCUAGCGACGCCGCGCGCAGGAAGAAGGUCUUCGGAUUGUAAACUGCUGUGGUAAGGGAAAAAUGCUAUGUAGAGUGGAAAGCUACAUAGAGGGAUGGUACCUUACUAGAAAGCCCCGGCUAACUACGUGCCAGCAGCCGCGGUAAUACGUAGGGGGCGAGCGUUACCCGGAAUCACUGGGCGUAAAGGGAGCGUAGGUGGCCUAACAUGUCAACUGUGAAAACCCGGAGCUCAACUCCGGACUUGCAGUUGAAACUGGUAGGCUUGAGGACGGUAGAGGAAGACGGAACUGCCAGUGUAGGGGUAAAAUCCUUAGAUAUUGGCAGGAACGCCGGUGACGAAGGUGGUUUUCUGGGCCGGUUCUGACACUGAUGCUCGAAAGCCAGGGGGGCGAACAG
rnacentral:rRNA from 1 species